AUUGAACGCUGGCGGCAGGCUUAACACAUGCAAGUCGAGCGCGCGGCGGACGGGUGAGUAAUGUCUGGGAAACUGCCUGAUAGCGGGGGAUAACUACAGGAAACGGUAGCUAAUACAGCAUACCAUCAGAUGUGCGAAGAGGGGGUGAGCUAGUAGUGGGGGUAACGGUUCACCUAGGCGCCGAUCCCUAGGUGGGCUGAGAGGAUGACCAGCCACACUGGAACGGUGACACGGCCCAGACUCCUACGGGAGGAAGCGGUGGGGAAGAUUGCACAAUGGGCGCAAGCAUGAUGCAGCCAUGCCGCGUGUAUGAAGAAGGCCUUCGGGUUGUAAAGCACUUUCAGCGGGGAGGCGGUACCCGAAGAAGAAGCACCGGCGAACUCCGUGCCAGCAGCCGCGGUAAUAC
rnacentral:rRNA from 1 species